ensembl:lncRNA
AGCGCUCUCAAUGAUUGUUGUGUCAGUCAACAUUUGGACCAGAACAAAAGGUUCCAAAACACAUCGUGGCAAGAAGCAGCACAGUGAUGAAGAUGAUGAUGUGGUGACGUAUGAAAAUGCUGAAGAUGUUUCUGCUCCUGUUAGAUUCCACAGAUCAACAAAUCAGCUGUGAAAAUAUUUCUUAUCUGCAGUUAUUUCAAACACAGCAGCUGGAUUUAAACAUGAUUGAACAGGAAAUGAGAACAGAGAAAAACAGAAUCUGCUUUACUGCUGCAACAGGACUAGAAGUCUGUUUUAUCUGAUCAGUAAAGACAAUAAAACAACAAACUAUCAACACAAUUAUUGAAGUAUUUUCUUAUUUUGGUUCAAUAUUUUGCUUGUCUUGUGUUAUUUUUUU